GACGAACGCUGGCGGCGUGCUUAACACAUGCAAGUCGAACGGAAAGGCCUCUUUCGGGGGGUACUCGAGUGGCGAACGGGUGAGUAACACGUGAGUAACCUGCCCUUGACUUUGGGAUAACUUCAGGAAACUGGGGCUAAUACCGGAUAGGAGCUCCUGCUGCAUGGUGGGGGUUGGAAAGUUUCGGCGGUUGGGGGUGGACUCGCGGCUUAUCAGCUUGUUGGUGGGGUAGUGGGUUACCAAGGCUUUGUCGGGUAGCCGGCCUGGGAGGGUGACCGGCCACAUUGGGACUGGGAUACGGCCCAGACCCCCACGGGGGGCAGCAGUGGGGAAUAUUGCACAAUGGGUGGGAGCCUGAUGCAGCAACGCCGGGUGCGGGGUGACGGCCUUCGGGUUGGAAACCGCCUUCGCUCAUGGCGAAGCUGUGUGUGACGGUAGUGGGUAAAGAAGCACCGGCUAACUACGUG
rnacentral:rRNA from 1 species